rnacentral:miRNA from 1 species
GCCGUGACACAGGCUGGGCGGGGCUGGGCAGAGGGGCCCUGCCGCUGCUUCCUCUGCCCUGUUCUCCUCUCCCAGCC